UGAGUGUCUACUGUUCCUCGGCCAUGCAC
rnacentral:piRNA from 1 species